ACUUAUUUCUGGAGCUUAUGCAAGCAGGAUCAGAAAGUGUUCGAUAGCUCCUGUGAGUAAAAGUCAGUGAAGGUGAUGUAACAUUAUGAUGUGGGUAAGAGAAAUGCUGUGAUGAACUGGGGGGAGGACACUGUAGAUAACUAGUGAGGACUUGUACAUGCUCUUGCAGCCUGUUUGAUCUAUGAGAGGAUUGUGGUUUUAUUGCUAAGUUUAGUGAUUUUGUGGGUAAGCCUCGUUCUUUUUUUUUUUUCUUGAAUCUAGUGUCUCUUAGAUUUGAGCUUUAUAAAUUAUUAGGCUAAUUAUGAGUAAAUUAAUUUACUAGUAAGCUAUUAAAUUAAUUUUCACACAAAAAAAAAAAAAAAGAGAGAAAAAAAGUGUGCCUUUACUAUGCACAACUUGUUCAACUACAUGCCUCUUGGUUCUGCUGGCGUUUUGGUCCAGCUGCCCUGUACCCAUGCAGCACUGGUUGCUUCCCCAGACCAGUGUUGCUCUCCUCAUAGGACAUGUGUGGCAAGCACCUUUCCAGAGCAGUGUUUAGCUUCUGCACGUGCUUAGACUCCUUCAGCAGCUGUUAGCAGCCAAUGCCCUCCAAGGGGUAGGUGCUGCAGAACUGCUCUCGUGUAAGAGCCCCAAAAUUGUUUGAAAGGAGUGAGGGCUUGGCUGUUAGCCUCUCCUAUUCCUUCUGCAGUUUCUUUCUGAAGUUGCAGAUGCUCCCAGCCAAAACCCAUGUGGAAGGGAGGAAAUACCGAGAGGUCUGUGCAGAAGUAAAUGGGAGACUUGUUUUUUGAAAUACCAGCAGGAUUUCAGCCUCAUAAAAAUAACUUUACUUUAUUCACAGACCUGCAGACAAAAAGUAUUUAGAGGUGUGGCAGGAAAACUUAUCCUCCUUAAAUUAGGGCAGAUCUCAGUCUGUCCCUGGAGGUUCAGAGAGCUUGAAUAAAUGCCGGGUGCUUUCUGUGUUGGCAAUAGGCUUUAACUUUGCACAUCACUCAUCUCGACAACUGCAGUCCAACAAAGUUACCUUGCCAUUCAGGUCACUCGAUGGCAUCCUAAUGCAUCACUUUCGUCUUGGAACAUUAGUCAUGACUUGAUCCAGGCAAGGUUUUGAAAACAGUGUGACUGCCGGCAUUGGGAUAUCUGUUCUCCCCGCAAGAGAGAGUCCAUGUAAGCUAAUGAACAAGAGGAUAUUGAUCAGAAAUCCAUUACUUGAUUGACAGCUCUUGGCAACGUGAAAAAGUGCAGAUGAAAGCUUGAGCAGUUUAAAAGAUCACCCAGACCUCAAAGCUGAUUUGAAGCUUUAAAAGUCAAUCUCUGCCUAUCAAUUAUGGGGGGAUUUUUUUUGUACUACACAGAGGAAAGUUAUUCUUUGAAAAUUUGCAUGCAGGAUGUCUAAUUUAAUUUCAUGUAAUAGUCACAUUUCAGUGACAAAUGUCAGAUCACUGCUUUUUUUAAGCACGUUAAGGUUUUCCAGCAUUUAUAAAGAAAGAGCACUCUGAUUUAAUAAUAUGUUUAAAUCAACCAGUGUAUCAGGCUGCGUUAAUUAUGUGCUCAGAUUUAAAAAAAAUGCUAUUUUUGCUUUACUAAACCUAUGGCUUGUUAUAAAUAAUUUAAAAAAUGGAAUGGAAACACUUCUUAAAUAAGAGAUAUGGAAGCCAAAUAGUUAUUUAGUGUUGAAGCAAUGAUAAACAGGAAGACAUCUUUCAAUUUGAUGUACCCAAGUCAGGGGUUUCUGUUCGUUCUUUUCUGGUGCUUAAUAAAUGAUUGAUCUAUUGCUAAGGACUGACACUAAUGUAACAAAAUGAAGUGACAGUAUCAUCAUUUCUUGACACCAUCCUUGCACUGAGAAGCCGGUAGAUGCUUCUGCAACAGAUUCACUAUUUGUGCUUGUUGGAGGCGCUUGUUUUUUUGGCUACCAGCUCAGCAAAGUCCUCUCUCGCCCCUGUAAAGCAUGCUGGGCAUGUCUGCAGUGUGCUCUGAGCAGCCGUAACUCCCCUGUUCAUCCUUCACAACUUUUACCAGCGAGAUCCUUCUGUUCCUCAGCACGGCACACACUUCUGCAACACUUGCACACUGUCGAGACUUAGCUCCUGUGGAAAUAAUGAGCUGAGGAAAAGGAGUCUUGACUUGACAUAGCAAUAAAUGAGGUGAAACUUUCCUCUCUCUUUUUUUUCUUUUUUUUUUUUUUUGGUGAGAAAUGAGAGUUGGCAUGUAGGAAGGGAAAAAAAAAAAAAAAAAAAAGGACGAAAAAAAGACGGUUCUAUUUUAAUAUGAAA